GCGGAGGUAGUUCAGUGGUAGAAUACAACCUUGCCAAGGUUGGGGUCGCGGGUUCGAAUCCCGUCUUCCGCUCCA
rnacentral:tRNA from 1 species